rnacentral:rRNA from 1 species
ACGCUCGACAGUGCCAGCCGCCGCGGUAAUACGGAGGGUGCAAGCGUUAUCCGGAUUUACUGGGUUUAAAGGGUGCGUAGGUGGGUAGGUAAGUCAGUGGUGUAAAUCUUCAAGCUUAACUUGGAAACUGCCAUUGAUACUAUUUAUCUUGAAUACUUUGGAGGUAAGCGGAAUAUGUCAUGUAGCGGUGAAAUGCUUAGAUAUGACAUAGAACACCAAUUGCGAAGGCAGCUUACUACACAGUUAUUGACACUGAGGCACGGAAAGCGUGGGGAUCAAACAGGAUUAGAUACCCCUGGUAGUCCACGCCCUAAACGAUGGGAUACUCGACAUUAGCGAUACACAGUUAGUGUCUGAGCGAAAGC